ensembl:lncRNA
ACUUGCCAUCAUUAUGAGAUUUAUUAAACAUUGUAAAUGAAAAACAUUUGCAAUAUUCAACUUUUUCAAUAAUAAAUAUUUGCAAAAAUAGAAAUUUGCAAUAAUAGUGCACCUCCGCCCGUAGUUCCAACAGCCUGUUCAGUAUCCUCCCUCGAGAUAGCCAGCGCACUUCAGUGUGUAGCAGCAGUUGUGUGUGUUUAGCUCCCAUGUCCUCACAAAGGCGGUGAAACAGUCGUGCAUUGAGUGGCCUUGACUUAAUGAAGUUAAUCACUUUAAUGCUGUCAUUCAAAACGUCAUGCAACACAGGACUUAUAUUUUUGGAUGCCAGUGCUUCCCUGUGUAUGACAGUGAUUCCACUGCACUUCUGGAUGUUUAUUUCUAAUGCACGCCAUGAGCCCUUUAACACGGCCUGUGAUUGACGCAGAUCCGUCAGUGCAGACACUCUUGCAGUUUCUCCAGUCUAGCUCAUUUUCAAUGAAGAAAUUAUCCACAACAUUAAAAAGGUCCCCUCUUGCAGAAAAGUACAUUUUCAUAAAUGUCGUUGAUAUCCACAUACCUCACAAAAGCAAUGAGCUGUGCCUUGCCACUGACAUCGGUCAAAUCAUCAAGCUGGAGUGAAAAUGCUUCGCCAAGUUUUCCCACAACUUGUUCAACAAUAUCCGCUCCCAUUCUUUCUAUUCUGCGGGAAACGGUUUCGUUAGACAAAGGCACCGUUUUUAAUUUAUCCGCGGCAUUUUUGUCCAGCAUUGUCUCAGCUAAUACAACAGCGGCUGGGAGUAAUAGGUCCUCAGCGAUCGUGGACGGCUUUUUUGCUUUAGCCACGAGCAGUGACACCGGGUAUGACGCCUGUAGGGCUUUGGCCGAUGUUGUGGAGACUUUUUGCAUUGUUUCCUGCGAUUAUCUAAACUCAGCAAGUUUUCUCUUGAAAAAACACUGAUGUUUGGUGCUGAGAUCUCUCUGGAGGUGCGCCGGUUUCAUCGCGCUAUUAGCUAGUUUCUCCCCACAGAAAAAACACAACGCCUGGGGAGGGUUGCCGUUUGUUGCCGUGAAUCCCAUCAAAACAUACCCCUCCUGAUAUUGACGGUAUUUUGUUGGCUCCACUUUGGCUUUCUUUUUUUCUUCAUCCUCCCUGUUCUCCGCUGUAUUAUUACUACGUUUUAACCAAGAUUUCAUUUAAAUGUCUGUUUGUUUCCAGUAGAGUAACUGGCUUCCCGCUAGGCGUGAUUCAAAU